UACGGGGGGGGCAAGCGUUGUUCGGAAUUACUGGGCGUAAAGGGCUCGUAGGCGGCCAACUAAGUCGGAUGUGAAAUCCCCAAGCUUAACUUGGGAACUGCAUCCGAUACUGGAUGGCUUGAAUCCGGGAGAGGGAUGCAGAAUUCCAGGUGUAGCGGUGAAAUGCGUAGAUAUCUGGAGGAACACCGGUGGCGAAGGCGGCAUCCUGGACCGAUACUGACACUGAGGAGCGAAAGCCAGGGGAGCAAACGGG
rnacentral:rRNA from 1 species